AGAAAGUGAGCUUUCGUUGUUUGAGAUUGUAAAUAACAUGGGAUGGAGACUUGACCGCCACAUAAUUAUUUUACACUGACCUAUUGAACCAUGAAACAACAUUGCUGAACUUCAAAAUUUCGGCAAAACAUCACAUGGAAAAUUGGCUACAACCAACCAGAUUGUUAAAUCCUCAUGUAUUUUAUACUGAACUCAAGAAGUGUGAAUAAGCAAGAAAGCUUUUGAAGAGAUCAGUGUAUCGUCGCAACUGCUACUACGAUUGGCUCCUUUCCAAGCACUGGUAAGAUCUUUCAACAGAUCUUAGCGACAUCUCUCUCUUCUUAAAUUUGCCAGGAUUUUAUGUAGUUGCUUUUCUUCUAAUAAGGUGCAUCCUGCUUGCUGUUGAAUUGUGCAGAAAGGCUACAUUGUAUUAAUUUCUUUUUCGCAUAGUUGAUACAAUUCAACACAUUUUGUAUCAACUGAUAACUUUGAAUCUUUGCGUCUUUCAUCGGAUCGUGCUUUGAAUUUGCACAUGAAUAACUAAAAGCACCAUGACAUUACGCAUUUCCUUUAUUUUAGCCAUUAAACUUACUUAUGUAUCCGGUGUUAAUUUAUCAUUUCUUGUAUAUUCAUCUUAGUUAGGAAGGGUGGCUUCAGUCAUCCUAAAUUUUGUGUGGGUUCUUUUUUCAGCCGUGGCUAGCUUUGCAAAACAAUAAUUAUUAUAAUCCUUGAUCUGCACAUGCCCAAUUUCCUUAUACCGUAUAGUGUCUCAUUCUAGAAUAGUAGCCUUUCUGCUCUGUUAAGAUGUUGAAGCACGGCGACAUUUUUAACUCAUGUUUAAUAUUGACAGAACUAAGCAUUAGGUAGUUGCUUGCAUGCCAUUCAUGUCAUAGAGAAAAUGCUAAAUUUCCUCUCUCCAAUUCCUUAUCAUGAACCUAACGCUUUAUUGAUCUGUUUUUAGCUUCUAGAUGUUCUGAAACUAUAUACACAAUAGAUACUGUUUGUCUGAACUGUAGUUCCACUCCAUGAAAAGCUGAGAUAAACUAAGAAUGGGGUAAAAAAAUCCGACUCUUCCUGCUCACUGGCGGUGCCCGCUAUGGCAUGGGUGGCUUUACCGCAGCCGCCGAGCCUUCAAAUUCUGAAGAUAACAAGCAGCUCGAAUCCAAGAAGAAAACUAAUUUAGUUCAGCCAACACUCCUAUUUUUUGUGCAUCUUUGUUCCAACUUUGCAUUGACGCCAUGUCCACUUGGACAAUGUUCAUAUGUUACUUUGAUUUUUGCCCAAGAAAAUAAACAUUCUGAAAUCUUUGUAGGAAUAGACUAAAUACGCUACGCCCUUACAUUCUUUGUGGAGAAGUUCUUCAGCCAAUCUAUUGCCAUUGAUUUCUGUCAUCCUAAAGUUUGAAUUCAAAAUUUUAUACCCGCAAAAUUUGAUAUGGUUUGAUUGAGAUGUGCGACGUGCGUUGCACGUACACACUUACUUUUCGAUAGAAACUAGGUAUUAUGACAGUCUAAUGCAUCCAAUGUUCAUAAUGACAUUACAAAUUGUACCAUUAAGCAGCUUAGGAGGACCAUCCUCUGUUCCUGUAACAGAACCGAUGUAAAUUCUUCACUUGCCCCCACCACCUACAUAUAAAGAUUGAUUGUUAGUACAUUAUUACUGAAAAAUGCUUCUCUUUGAUAGACGCAUCACUACAUGUGUACAUAAUUAGGACAUACAGAUCACAUUUGUGACUUCAUAGGCCCACACAUAAUCUGAUUUAGCCACAAGGCUUUGAAGCUGGCACCCGUGCAAUAAGAAAUAAAUAAAUGAAAAAUAAAAUAUGCCACUCACAACGGGAAAAGUAAUUACAAUUCUACAGACUCAUCCCUCUCCUUUGUACUGCCUCUGCCAGGAAAUUGUUACAUGCUACAAAUUUGUGGAUGAAGCACGCACAAGAAAAACAAUAGAUUUACUUACCCAGAGGCCAGCCGAUUCAUGGCUGGAUCUAGUUAGUUACCUACACGUACUAGAAAAGCAUUGACCGAGCUCACCUAGAGCGACCGAAUCUGGAGGUGGGGCAAGGAAGGGGCGACGAGAAAGGACUCACAUACCAGAAGCUUACCUCAGGCCGGGCGGAGGGAAGGAAAUCAGCCGGAACAGAGGCCACAGGUGGAGGAAAACCAGCGUUGGAUCCUCGGCGGCCGACGGCCUUGCUUCUCCUUACUGGUGGACGGUUCUGCUGCUCCUGUCUGGUGGCGCUUGACGGCGCUGCUGCUCCUGUACGGUGGCGCUUGACAGCGUUGCUACUCCUUAGCGUAGCGGAUGGAGCUGCUGCUCCUGGGCGGAUGGUGCCCUGCGGGGAGGAAGGUCAGGGUUGGAGUUGAUGUGGCGCGAGGGAACAAGCGGACGGGCGGCGGCGCGGUCGAGUUAGGUUUAGGUCGGAGGCGGCGGCGCACGGGUUCUAUGUGAGUGGUGAGAGAGAGAAGGGUGAGAUUGGGGGUUGGACGGUUGUGUUUUUUCUUUUCUUUUGCUGGUCUGGUCCGACUCGGGUGUUUUCCAUCGC
rnacentral:lncRNA from 1 species